UAUUGCUAGUUUUUCCAAGUCAACCUUCAAAAGCGUAUGUUGUAAUUGUACCGUAAUUGAUAUUUUAACGAUAACAAUACUCGAAUUAUGCUGCUUUUCACACUUUAAGGAGAGGAGCAAGUGUUCGCUAGCCAACAGUUUGUUCCGAAAGACGGUAAAAAUAAAAGUUGUAGUUUGGAAGUAGGGGUGUACAGUUCCGGUUGUCUUACCGGGGGCCAGGCGGACCAGAGUCGGCAGACGGAACUUGCUGACCACCGCGUCCAACGGCAGCGCUAACGGGCUCCAGGAGAUCUCCGACAGGCUCGCCGACAACUUCUCCAUCCUGCCGGGGUCAUCACUGUGCCGGAGAGGAGGCGGGGGGCGAAGACGACGGCGGCGGCGGGUGUCGUGGUGACGAGCUGGUGGAGUCUGCAGGGAACUCAACAGACUCAGAGAAACUGGAGCCAGCGGACAUUUGCAUCCCUGACUGAUCCGCAACUUAAAAGGGUCGUUAAAAAUGCCGUCUGAAAUGGCAACAGAUAAAAAAAGAGGGCCUGAAGCCACAUCCUCUUCUUCGCUUCUGCAAAGAUCUCCAUCUUCCCAAGCAACUGGAUAGAGUUCAGUCAGCUGAAUCGCUUCCUGGACGCAACAAUGGAAGUCAAGACGGAGUUGCCAAAGCAGAAGUUUGCCAAAUGAGGCAGUCUGGGAGUAGGAGAAACAAUCUUGGCUGGAAGCUACUUUGAAACAAGAUGAUGAUCGCACUCUAAAGACUGCUGGGGGCAUUUACAAUAUAGUGCAUCUGUGACCUACUAAGACAAGGGUGUCGUUUUUAUUGAGGCCUAUGUCACAAUGAGGGCUGCCCUCAUAGAGCCACGUUAAAUGACGUAGCAGACCUCAUCAAAAAUGAUGUGGCGUACCACAUUAAAUGACAUGGAAGUCCACAUUGAAUGACGUGACGGGCCACAUUGAAGGAAAUUGCAAACCACUUUGAAUGAUGUGGUGGACCACAUUAAAUGACAUGGAUUAACUAGUUGAAUGAUGUGAUGGGCCAUGCUAAAUUAUGUGAUGGGCCAUAUCAAAUGAUGUGGUGUACCAGAUUAAAUGACAUGUAAGUCCACAUUGAAUGACUUGACAGGCCCCAUUAAAUGAAAUGGCAAACCACUUUAAAUGAUGUGGAAGACCACAUGGAAUGAUGUGGUGGACCACAUUAAAUGUCAUGGAUUAACCAGUUGAAUGACGUGAUGGGCCACAAUCAAUUACGUGAUGGGCCUUAUUAAUGUACGUUCUGGGCCACAUAAAUGAUGUGGCAGACCACAUUGAAUGAAGUGGCAGAUCUCAUUGAAUGAUUUAGAAGACCACAUUGAAUGACGUGAUGGGCCACAUUAAAUGAAAUGGCAAAUCACUUUGAAUGAAGUGGCACCACAUCAAAUGGCAUGGAAUACCUCAUUGAAUGACGGGACGGGCCACAUUGAAUGAGGUGGCAGACUACAUUGAAUGAUGUGGCAGACCACAUUGAAUGAUGUAGAAGAACACAUUGAAUGAUGUGACGGGCCACAUUAAAUUAAAUAGCAAACCACUUUGAAUGACGUGGCACCACAUCAAAUGACAUGGAAUACCUCAUUGAAUGACGUGACGAGCCACAUUGAAUGAGGUGGCAGACCUCAUUGAAUUAUGUGGAAGACCACAUUGAAUGACGUGACAGGCCAAGUUAAAUGAAAUGGCAAACCACUUUGAAUGACGUGGCACCACAUUGAAUGAUGUGGAAGACCACAUUGAAUGACGUGGUGGACCACAUUAAACCACAUCAAAUGAUUAGGAAUACCUCAUUGAAUGAAGCA